rnacentral:lncRNA from 1 species
GAGGAGUGGGAGAGAUAGAUGAGAGGCAAAAGGUGAUGGGUUGAGGGUAGGAUCUUCGAAUAUUUGGAAACUUUAGGGUAAGUCCAUUGAGUUGGUGAAGAUUCUCAUGAAGAGGAGGAUUACUAUUGUGAGUGUUGAGGACACUAUGUGGAUAGGUUCAUAGGCUAGUGAUGUGGAUAGGAAUAAGUUUUGGUACUUAGGUAGUGACAGGGGGUGGGAAUCUUAGUGGAUGAAAAGCUUAGAGGGCAG